rnacentral:rRNA from 1 species
GACGAACGCUGGCGGCGUGCUUAACACAUGCAAGUCGAACGAUGAAGCCCAGCUUGCUGGGUGGAUUAGUGGCGAACGGGUGAGUAACACGUGAGUAACCUGCCCUGGACUCUGGGAUAACCCCGAGAAAUCGGAGCUAAUACCGGAUAGGACCCUGUACCGCAUGGUGUGGGGUGGAAAGUUUUUCGGUUUGGGAUGGACUCGCGGCCUAUCAGCUCGUUGGUGAGGUAAUGGCUCACCAAGGCGUCGACGGGUGGCCGGCCUGAGAGGGUAACCGGCCACACUGGGACUGAGACACGGCCCAGACUCCUACGGGAGGCAGCAGUGGGGAAUAUUGCACAAUGGGCGCAAGCCUGAUGCAGCAACGCCGCGUGAGGGACGACGGCCUUCGGGUUGUAAACCUCUUUUAGCAGGGAAGAAGCGAAAGUGACGGUACCUGCAGAAAAAGCACCGGCUAACUACGUGCCAGCAGCCGCCGUAAUAC